rnacentral:rRNA from 1 species
GACGUAGGGCGCGAGCGUUGUCCGGAUUUAUUGGGCGUAAAGAGCUCGUAGGCGGCUUGUCGCGUCGACUGUGAAAACCCGCGGCUCAACUGCGGGCCUGCAGUCGAUACGGGCAGGCUAGAGUUCGGUAGGGGAGACUGGAAUUCCUGGUGUAGCAGUGAAAUGCGCAGAUAUCAGGAAGAACACCCGUGGCGAAGGCGGCUCUCUGGGACGGUACUGACGCUGAGACGCGAAAGCGUGGGGAGCGAACAGG